UUUACGCUUAAGGUUGAGGUAGCGCAGGUAACAAUCUCCAAGUUUGUCACAGAACGAUGUUAUGCGCAUAUAUCUACCCUUCUUUUUUGUAAUGCGGGGAGGGAGAAAUACAAUUCAAUUCACCAAGCGUGCUUGCAACGUGUUCAUUUUUAAAGCACCGGCUGUUAGUGGUAGACAGUAAACACCAGUUUGGUCGGAGUUAUACUACGCGUAGAAAAUAAGAAUUUUGAUUUGCAAACAGAAUGAGUGGUUCCUGUCAAGUUGAAGUCCGUUUUGAAUAUUAAUUGUGUAACAUCUAAACUAGACACGUAGGACUGCUUCAUUCCGGUGCAUCUGAACGUUGAGACAUAAAUCAAA